UAAAUGCUACCGAUUAUGGAUGAAUCCGCGUCCCAUUAGCCAGUUGGUGGGGUAAAGGCCUACCAAAGCGACGAUGGGUAGCCGGCCUGAGAGGGUGACCGGCCACACUGGAACUGAGAUACGGUCCAGACUCCUACGGGAGGCAGCAGUGGGGAAUCUUCCGCAAUGGGCGAAAGCCUGACGGAGCAACGCCGCGUGAGCGAAGAAGGUCUUCGGAUUGUAAAGCUCUGUGAUAUUGGACGAACAAUUUCCCGUAAAUAAUGGGAAGGAAUGACGGUACAAUAAGAGGAAGCCACGGCUAACUACGUGCCAGCAAGCGUUGUCCGGAAUUACUGGGCGUAAAGGGCGCGUAGGCGGCUCUUUAAGUCAGAUGUGAAAACCCAGGGCUUAACCUUGGGAGUGCAUUUGAAACUGAAGGGCUCGAGUGCAGGAGAGGUAAGUGGAAUUCCUGGUGUAACGGUGAAAUGUGUAGAUAUCAGGAGGAACACCCGUGGCGAAGGCGGGUUGCUGGACCAAAACUGACGCUGAGACGCGAAAGCGUGGGGAGCAAACAGGAUUAGAUACCCUGGUAGUCCACGCCGUAAACGAUGAGUGCUAGGUGUCGGGGGUAUCGACCCCCUCGGUGCCACAGCUAACGCAAUAAGCACUCCGCCUGGGGAGUACGGUCGCAAGACUGAAACUCAAAGGAAUUGACGGGGGCCCGCACAAGCGGUGGAGUAUGUGGUUUAAUUCGACGCAACGCGAAGAACCUUACCAAGGCUUGACAUCCUGUGACAGCUAGAAAUAUAGACUUCUUAGUUUACUAAGACACAGAGACAGGUGGUGCAUGGUUGUCGUCAGCUCGUGUCGUGAGAUGUUGGGUUAAGUCCCGCAACGAGCGCAACCCCUACAGCCAGUUGCUAACAAGUAAGGUGGGAACUCUGGCAGAACUGCCGUUGACAAAACGGAGGAAGGUGGGGAUGACGUCAAAUCCUCAUGGCCUUUAUGACCAGGGCUACACACGUACUACAAUGGCCGGUACAAAGGGCAGCAACACAGCGAUGUGAAGCCAAUCCCAUAAAGCCGGUCUCAGUCCGGAUUGGAGUCUGCAACUCGCCUGCAUGAAGUCGGAAUCGCUAGUAAUCGCAGGUCAGCAUACUGCGGUGAAUACGUUCCCGGGCCUUGUACACACCGCCCGUCACACCACGAAAGUCUGCAACACCCGAAGCCGGUGACUCAACC
rnacentral:rRNA from 1 species